rnacentral:rRNA from 1 species
CUUUUGGAGAGUUUGAUCCUGGCUCAGGACGAACGCUGGCGGCGUGCCUAACACAUGCAAGUCGUACGAAUGGUGGAGAGCUUGCUUUUCACCGUUAGUGGCGGACGGGUGCGUAACACGUGAGCAACCUGCCCUUCGGCGGGGGAUAGCCGGUCUAACGGCCGGGUAAUACCGCGUACGACCUCGGGCUCGCAUGGGCCUGGGGUGAAAGCGGCCGCAAGGUCGCACCGGAGGAGGGGCUCGCGGCCUAUCAGCUUGUUGGUGAGGUAACGGCUCACCAAGGCGACGACGGGUAGCUGGUCUGAGAGGAUGGUCAGCCACAUUGGGACUGAGAUACGGCCCAGACUCCUACGGGAGGCAGCAGUGGGGAAUAUUGCGAAAU